AUUGAACGCUGGCGGCAGGCCUAACACAUGCAAGUCGAGCGGAGCGGCGGACGGGUGAGUAAUGUAUGGGGCUCUGUCCGAUAGAGGGGGAUCACUACUGGAAACGGUAUCUAAUACAGCAUACUAUCGGAUGUACCCAUAUGGGAUUAGCUAGUUUGUGAGGUAACGGCGUACCAAGGCGACGACCCGUAACUGGUCUGAGAGGAUGAUCGGCAACACUGGAACUGAGACACGGUCCAGACUCCUACGAGAGGCAGCAGUAGGGAAUAUUGGACAAUGGGCGAAAGCCUGAUCCAGCCAAGCCGCGUGAGUGAAGAAGGUCUUCGGAUUGUAAAGCACUUUAAGUUGAGAGGCGUUACCAACAGAAUAAGCACCGGCUAACUUCGUGCCAGCAGCCGCGGUAAUAC
rnacentral:rRNA from 1 species